rnacentral:rRNA from 1 species
CCUACGGCUGCACCAGUGGGGAAUAUUGCACAAUGGGCGCAAGCCUGAUGCAGCCAUGCCGCGUGUAUGAAGAAGGCCUUCGGGUUGUAAAGUACUUUCAGCGGGGAGGAAGGUGUUGAGGUUAAUAACCUCAGCAAUUGACGUUACCCGCAGAAUGAAGCACCGGCUAACUCCGUGCCAGCAGCCGCGUAAUACGGAGGGUGCAAGCGUUAAUCGGAAUUACUGGGCGUAAAGCGCACGCGGGCGGUCUGUCAAGUCGGAUGUGAAAUCCCCGGGCUCAACCUGGGAACUGCAUUCGAAACUGGCAGGCUAGAGUCUUGUAGAGGGGGGUAGAAUUCCAGGUGUAGCGGUGAAAUGCGUAGAGAUCUGGAGGAAUACCGGUGGCGAAGGCGGCCCCCUGGACAAAGACUGACGCUCAGGUGCGAAAGCGUGGGGAGCAGACAGGAUUAGAUACCCUUGUAGUC